rnacentral:tRNA from 1 species
GCCCACCUAGCUCAAUCGGAUAGAGCGUCAGACAUACAAUCUGAAGGCUGCGAGUUCGAGUCUCGCGGUAGGCG